UUUUGCAUCUUACCAACUUUCUUUGGAUUUCUUUACUUUUGUUGGAAAUCUUGAUACUUUGGACUUGUUUAUUAAUUACUCAAUCACUGUUGCCUCAUAAUUUAACAAUUCAGCAUUCUUCGCUAAACUGCCUGAAGCUAUGGCUACAUAUAUGUGAAUACUUUCGGUCUGUGAACGUUGAAGUUUUUACUUGAUCCAUCAGCCAUGAAGAUCUAUCAUCUUUUCUUUUUGACUCUCUUUCUGAAAGGUGUAGUUGGUCCAGAUCUUGCUGGAGGCCAAUCUGAAUGUCAACAGCGUCUUAAAGGUUUCUGUUACCCAAAAGACGUUUCCUGUCCUGACUGUUUUACUUACUACGGACUGUGUGAAUUUGACUUCCAGUGCUGUGCCAAAAUAUGGUGGCUUACAGAGUGUGAAUAUGCAACUACACCAGCUGAAAGUUUUUUACCUAAAACAACAACUUCACAAAUAUUUUAUGAUGAAACUGAGGCACCAAAAUAAAACAUUGUGAUAGUCAUUCAGUUCCUGCUAAGUAAAAACAUCAUGUUGUGUAUUGUAUAAUCAAUGACGAUCCUGUAUUUCUUACCAAGAAAACCACAUGGAGAGAAAAUAUAAAAUUAUUAAUGAUAUAGUACCAGACAGGAGGCUCCUCGGGUCAGAUGGUAUUUAACAUGCUACAGAAGUACGUGUACAUGUACAUGCCGAAGCUAUGCUACUCGAAUAAAGAUUCUUUAAGGAAAAGAAAAUCUGAAGCUGCAAAGGAGAAUUCCAGUGAGAACAUGUAAUGUAAAUAGUAUGAACAAAGUAAAGUACAACAGAAUGAAAGAUGAAAUGACUACAGACAUCUUAGGUAUCAUGAAAUUGAGAUGAACUGGAAUUGCACACUUUUGAAUUGCACACUUUUGAAUUGCACACUUUUGAUCUAUUUAUUACUCAGGACAUGAAAAACAAAGAAAAAAUGGUGUUGUUUUUAUAGUUAGGACAUUGAAAACAAGAACAGUGUUUGGCUACAGUGCAAUUCAAUGACUAAAUAAUAUGAAUGAGACUUUGUGGAUAACUCUUUAAUAUAAUGAUCAUUCAACUUUGUACUCUAGCCACCAAUGCAGAAGAAGAGGAGGUUGAUGAGUUUUAUGCUCAAUUCAGUUUGAAACAGAAGAACAUGCAAGCAAGAUGAGUUGCCUGUAAUUGGAACUGGAAUGUGAAAAUUGAAAACAUUAAAGAGGAAAAUGGAAUUUAUUUUAUAACUUAGGAAACUGAAAUAAAGCAGGAAAUCAAUUUAACCUCUCCAAUGAUUUCUUCAAACAACCAAAAUGAUGCCUCUAUACAUUUCAGAACAUACUGUGAAACUACAGGAACUGAUGGAAUACCGAAAUAUUGCAAGCAACAGAAGAAGAAUCACUAAAGUUUCUAACCAAACUAUGCCAGCAAAACUAGACAAUGACACAAUGGCCAACUGAUUGGAAGAGGUCAAUCUACAUCCCAAUACCAAAAACAGGAAAUUUAACAGAGUGUACUAUACAAUAACUCUAAUUUCAUGUGAUAGCAAACUGAUGCUCAGAAUUUUCUUUUGUAAGAUUUCAGCUGCCCAUUAUAAUUUUUAUUUCAAUAAUAGCAGGAAAAUAAUGAAGUAAUUCCAUAUAAAUAUGUAAAACUACAUUAACAUGCUAUAAACACUAUCUGAUCUAUGCAUUUCUAAAAUUUCUCAUAAAAUAUACCUACUAGGUCAAAUUAAAAUUCUGCCUGUUAAAUAUUCCCAAUAUUUUAAUAAAGCAAAGAUGAUGGUGGUAUGUCAUAUUU